rnacentral:rRNA from 1 species
UACGGGGGGGGCAAGCGUUGUUCGGAAUUACUGGGCGUAAAGGGCUCGUAGGUGGCCAACUAAGUCAGACGUGAAAUCCCUCGGCUUAACCGGGGAACUGCGUCUGAUACUGGAUGGCUUGAGUUCGGGAGAGGGAUGCGGAAUUCCAGGUGUAGCGGUGAAAUGCGUAGAGAUCGGGAGGAAGGCCGGUGGCGAAGGCGGCGCUCUGGAACGUUACUGACGCUGAGACACGAAAGCGUGGGGAGCAAACAGG